UUUAACGGCCGCGGUAUUCUGACCGUGCAAAGGUAGCGCAAUCAAUUGUCUUUUAAAUGAAGGCCCGUAUGAAUGGCAUAACGAGGGCUUAACUGUCUCCUUUUUCCGGUCAAUGAAAUUGAUCUCCCCGUGCAGAAGCGGGGAUAAUAACAUAAGACGAGAAGACCCUAUGGAGCUUAAAACGCAAGAAUAGACCAGACCAAUAAACUUAAAUUAACAAAACAAACCAACUGGCCCCUAUUCCAAUGUUUUUGGUUGGGGUGACCACGGGGUAACAUGAAACCCCCGCGCAGAACGAAAAUACAAUUUUCUUACUCAAGGGCGACAGCCCUAGAAACCAGAACCUCUGACUAUUUGAUCCGGCCAAGCCGAUUAACGAACCGAGUUACCCUAGGGAUAACAGCGCAAUCCUCUUUUAGAGCCCAUAUCGACAAGAGGGUUUACGACCUCGAUGUUGGACCAGGACAUCCUAAU
rnacentral:rRNA from 1 species